rnacentral:tmRNA from 1 species
GGGGAUGAUCGGCUUCGACGGGAGAGGCUGACCCCGGACGGCGAGCCGAGCGGCACCGAACUCGUAAACUCCGUGCAAACUUUUAAGUGCCGAACGCACUAACUACUCUGCUCUUCCCCUCGCUGCAUAAGCAAGGAUAAAGCAGAGGGUCACUCUGAAGUGACCUCGUCCACCUACUCCUAACUCCUGCUGGAGUAGUGUUGGGCGACACAAAGCGGGAGUGCUACUCGUGGACACCGCUAACCGAGUAAAAGAGGAACUUUCGGGUUCCAGCGGCUUGACAAGUGUGCGCUUUUGGCAGAUGUAGACCACUUGUUGAAAUGAAACAUUUGCCUACGCUCGUAGAAGUCCGAGCGGUUGAAUCUUUCGGACGCGGGUUCGAUUCCCGCCAUCUCCACCU